GACGAACGCUGGCGGCGUGCUUAACACAUGCAAGUCGAGCGGAAAGGCCCUUCGGGGUACUCGAGCGGCGAACGGGUGAGUAACACGUGGGCAACCUGCCCUCAGCUUCGGGAUAACUCCGGGAAACCGGGGCUAAUACCGGAUAUGAUUCUCGGGGGCAUCUCCGGGGGUGGAAAGUUUCUCGGCUGGGGAUGGGCCCGCGGCCUAUCAGCUUGUUGGUGGGGUGAUGGCCUACCAAGGCGACGACGGG
rnacentral:rRNA from 1 species